AAUCAGUCCUAACCUCUGGACAUGAUGUGUUAAUCAGUUCUAACCUCUGGAUAUGAUGUCAUUAUGUGAAAUCCAGAUGUUUUUUCUGAAGCGCCUUGUGGAGGACCAAGGGCACAACACAACUUUAUAUUUGUGAAGUUAUAUACUUGAAAGUGUACAAUGUAUGGAAAUGUUAUUUUAUCUUAUUUUCCCUAUUGUUUCUGAUGUAUUCCAAUUCAAUUUUAUUUAUAUAGCGCCAUAACAAUACAAUUGUCUCUAGGCGCUUUACAGAGCCCAGAUUCCAACCCCCCCCACAUACACACACACACACACACACACACACACACACUAGUCUUAUCACAGUUAGCCUCAUAAGGCACCCUGAGGCAUUUAAUGAAUGAGUAAUGUUACGACUCAACAGAAGAUGGUGGUAGCCUUCAACUUGUACUAACGGAGACAGUAGCAAACAGCAUGUCAGUGGUGAGAGCUAUGGCCUCCACCCAGCAUCUUCUCAUGCAACGGUGACUCCAGGGGCCUUUCUUACUUCCUGUCAUUUGUUUUGGUUGGACCAGCCCCCUCCACGCUCAUUCACUGGCAGCCCCCCUGCGCUUGAGACGAGUGGCGUGGGCGAUUGUCCAGCUCUCCGGGUGACUGUCAGAAACCUGUAAAGGUUCGGAGCCCUGUUCACUUCUCUGGGCAUGGCAGCCAGCCGCUGGAGCCAGGGAUUACAGUCGAAGGCCAGGGGAGGGAAGAGGGGGGGAGGAGGGGGAGGGAGGAGGGGGGGUGAUCUGGGGGUUGGCUGCGGUUGAGAGCCGGGGCAGGUCCUGCUCCUGUUGGGGAAUCAUGAGGGAAAGAGUCCGGGGGGUUGGGGGGGGUUCACUCGUCAGAGUUUAGUGUCUGUGUUGAUUCGUGGCAUUAGUUUGUUUACCCGGAGCAAAGUGGAGCACAUCGCUGCGUCUCUGACCUUUUUGUGGUUUGCGUUCAUGCUGAUUAGGAGAGGAAAGUGAUCCGGGGCGAAGCGCUUAAAGUGCCUCCCUCUCCUCCUCUCCUCUCCUCUCCUCUCCCUCUCCGUCGCCAGGCUGUUUUUAAGCAGAAAUUACACAGGGCCUCGGCAGUCGGACGGGGUAAUUGGCGGAGGCGGAGCAGAGGGCCUUGUGGCUGUGACAGGGGACCACCACCACCACCUCCCCUCUUCCCUUUUGAAGAGCUUCAUUAACCAGAGAGCUAGUGGCAGCAAAUCCUCACACAUUAGCCCAGUGGACUCUCGUGGUGACACUUCACAUCUUCACAUCUCUUCUGGUGAUCUUAACGCUCUCUUGCACUUUUUUCAUUUAUUUUAAAAAAGCAAAAAAAACAAGUCAUGACCCAGUUCCCUAAUAGCCAAGUUAAUGUCAUUAGUCACAGUACUAUUUAAAGACCUACUGCUGAAUAUUGAGGCUGGGAGUUUUUCUAUGAAAAUGUCCAGACGUCCUUUACUGUCUUCUUACAUUCCUCCCGUGGAGUAGCCAGUCAGUUAGGCUCAUGAUGAGGUCGAGUGAGGAAGUAGGGCUUACUGGUUCAGUUGAGGGAUGUGAGUGCAAUUCCAUUUCAAGUUAUCGCAAAAACAGGAAUACGGCUUCGUCUAUUAUAUACUUGUUUACCCCUUUCCCCUUCUCAUUAACCAAAGCAACGUUAACACUUAAAACAAAUGUCACAGACAGACAUUCUUAGCUAAAUGCUUGGCGAUUGUUUUUUUCUUUGAAAAUGGCAUACAUUUUUUCCACAGACCUUUUCUUGAUUUAUUUAUUGCUUGUGGCCACAGUGCUAGCCUGUGGAAUGUAGCCUGCCGUAGCUCGCUAGAGUCGUCUCCAAAAGGGUCAGUAGGUAGUUGGACAUACAUUUGCACGCGACAUUAACAGAAAUGUGUACAUGCCUUCCAUAAACACCAUGUUUAUAUAUCUACCGUUACAGUUUUACGGACAGGCAAAGCGCUCGGAGCGGUGGAAAGCAUCGAGUCGGCUUCUCUACGCGCAUAUUCAUCUUCUCUGAGCCCAGUUUGAGUGGAGGGAGCUGAACUCCACGGGCUCUUAGGUGAUGUGAUGUGAUGUGAUGACAACGAUGAUCUUUCACCGUCUCUUUCAGUCUGAAUCUGAGAGAACACUCUUAACUUGCGUUGGUCUCCAAAAUGGCUGCAAUGGUUUACUUGGCGACUAACAUGCUUGGGUGUCUUCUGUUCACUGUUGUGUGGACUCCAACGUGCAUGCCUGAUCGAUUAGUGAACUCUUAAGGGCUCUUAAGUUCCAUGAUGGAUAAAGUGGACGAUGAACGUUUGGCUUCAGCCACAGUUGGGCUGAUAAUGAUCACUGAAGAUGGUAGAACUCUGACAACUGUACUGUAUUUAGACAUGGACUACUCUCUGAAUCUCCAAAAUCUGUUUUUAUGUGCAGCAAGUGGACGAGACUGAAUUUUGAGCCUACACAAAUUAGCAUCCACUAUUUUUAAAGGCUGUCGUGAUUUUUAAAUGUUCUGAAACUGCCC
ensembl:lncRNA